rnacentral:lncRNA from 1 species
UUUUGUGGGCGAAGAGAGCUCAAGUCAUCACUGAAAUCUGUUAAAUAUCAAAAAAAUGAGUUAAGUUAAUAUUAUAAAGUAAGAGAUAGAGAAUGUAAGCAAUCAAAAUUCAUAUCUAAGCCAAACCUCUCCCACCUUCCUGUCUUUCUCUCUCGGUUAGCCUUAUUUGUAGCAUACUUCGCCUCAAAUUAAUAGAUAGAAUCUUCUUGCAUUUUUAGCCUUGAACUUGGGGAUAAUGGAUACUCUAUGACCAUUUUCUUGGUUCUUGAAAACAUUACAAAUUUUAAAGUGACAAUCAUGAAAGAAGCAUUUCGACCACAUAAAUGGACUGACAGCUAUGAGUAUACAAUAUGCAUCAUAUCAAGUUCAAGCCUGAAAAACAGUUUGGCAAAAAUGCAAGGUAAGGAUGCGUAC